GACGAACGCUGGCGGCGUGCUUAACACAUGCAAGUCGAACGGAAAGGCCUGCUUUCCCUUGUGGAUUGCGGGUACUCGAGUGGCGAACGGGUGGGUAACACGUGAGUGAUCUGUCCCCAACUUGGGUAUAAGCCUGGGAAACUGGGUCUAAUUCCCGAUAGGACUGCAGGGUGGUGCCUGUGGUGGAAAACGAUUUUCUAGUGGUUGGGGAUGAGCUCGCGGCCUAUCAGCUUGUUGGUGGGGUAAUGGCCUACCAAGGCGGCGACGGGUAGCCGGCCUGAGAGGGUGGACGGCCACAUUGGGACUGAGAUACGGCCCAGACUCCUACGGGAGGCAGCAGUGGGGAAUAUUGCACAAUGGGCGGAAGCCUGAUGCAGCGACGCCGCGUGGGGGAUGACGGCCUUCGGGUUGUAAACUCCUUUCGACCGCGAGGAAGCCACCUGGUUGGAAGGGUGGUGACGGUAGUGGUAGAAGAAGCACCGGCUAACUACGUG
rnacentral:rRNA from 1 species